rnacentral:lncRNA from 9 species
AGGCGGGCUCGCUGAGACGUAGGGAUAGGAAGGGUUUUCAUUGGAAUGACAGAACAGCGACCAACCAAAACCCUGGGCAAGCCUGGGCAAAGUCCUGGUGGGAGGUGGUAAAAAGUAGACAGGAAUGGGAUAGGAUGAAGCUUAUCAAAACCAAUCAGAAAUCAGGCGGGCGGCCAGGAAAAUUAUGAUUGGAUUAACACUGAAAAGAGACGCGCUAGGACACAAAUUGACGUGAAUAAAAGCCAAUUGAAUGCUGCUUAAACUGUGAGGGCGGGAACCUGGAGUAGGCAGGGGAGAAUUGGCGGCUGCUUCAGUCACUCAGCCCAAUGAGGCAGCGAGGGAAGCCAGGCACCGCCUCCGGCUUGGCCAAUGGGCGUUACUAGAGGCGCCAGUUGUCGGGGAGGUAACAGGGCUGUGCCAAGAGGAGUCCGUCGCCAUUUUGGCCCUCCUCUGGGGACGUCUUUACCGUGAUUAGGUGGCAAGGCUUCAGCAGAGCCCUGCAAUUCAACAAGUGUCAGGGCCGAGCCCCGCGGCGCGUCGCAUUUCUUCCUCGACAUCAGGGCUUGUUUGAGUCUUCACUUAACCGCUUUUAAAAGUACCUCUCAGGUCUCCCCCCUCCGCGGUGGGCGGACUGGCAGGCGGAUGCCUCAGAAUAUGGUGUAACCCCUGUGGGUGCUGGCGCAAGGAGAUCUGGCGAGGGCGCUCAUACAGUUCUAUGUUGCCACUUCAUUAUCUACAACUCGGCACUUCUCCAUAUUACUAUCAUGUCUUAAAGUAUGGAUUCCCGAAAACUGAGGCCUCUACUGCUUUGGGCAAAGCCUGAAGAAGCUUCGUUUCCUUCACGGAGAAGCACCGCGAUUCAUCCCAGCCUAGACGGUACCUGGAAGGAAGGCCUUCUUCCAUUUGGUGGCUCUGGUGGUCAUGAAGGUGCUGCAGGAGGAAGAAAGCCUGGGAGACAUGGGAGGCAGGGUCAAGAACACCAUUUGAUUAUUAUUUGAGCUGACCUCGGGCCCAGCCUUCCUGAAUAUUCUCUUUUCUGAAGAGGCCUGCAAGAAGACAGGCCUGACUAUAAACCCAAAUGAGCCCCUGCAGCCUGAAGACCCUCCGGCAAAGAAAAGCAGAGGUGAUUUGAGGCCUGGUGGGGAAGAGAAAGAAACUGCUGAGAGACUAAAUGCCGAGGUCCAUCCGCAUUCUUGGAAGCCAGAGGAAGCAGGCUGGAGACACCCGGGAGGCCCAGAGAGGAGUCUGGACCCCACAGUGAACCAGCUGAGGGCUUCACGGAACCUUUCAUCAGACCCCCAGGGACUCCAGCUCGAAACAAACACAUAAUCAAAACGUUUCCCUCCCUUCCAAAUAUCCAAAGCCCUUAGGCUCCUCAGCUCCCCAGACCUGGAAGGAAGCCGGGCGCUUACUGCCAAGGUACCGUCUCCAGUCACCCCCACCCCCACCUGCACCCGGAACUUUGUACCCCAAGGGAGUGCAGCCUUUAAAAAAAAAAAAGAAAGUUCCUGUUUUAACCAAAAAUGAAGCAGUUGCUCUUUCUCCUUCCUCCCCUGGGACAAGAAGCCCUUGAGUCCCCUCCAGAGUCCAGAUGCAAGGAGAGCGCUACUCCACCCCCAGUUUCCAACUCCCAGCAAGGCGAAUGGCCCCGACCGGCUCAACAGGUCCCUGGAAAGGACUUGCCCUCCCCAGGCAUCCACAGCUGAGGCCGGAGGAAGGAAGGGGAGGGG